UACCGAGGGGGCAAGCGUUAUUCGGAAUUAUUGGGCGUAAAGGGCGCGUAGGCGGCUUGGCAAGUGGAUGGUGAAAUCCCUCGGCUUAACCGAGGAACUGCCGUCCAAACUGCUUAGCUUGAGACCGGGAGAGGUGAGUGGAAUUCCCAGUGUAGCGGUGAAAUGCGUAGAUAUUGGGAGGAACACCAGUGGCGAAGGCGGCUCACUGGACCGGUACUGACGCUGAGGCGCGAAAGCGUGGGGAGCAAACGGG
rnacentral:rRNA from 1 species